CAUGCUUUAUCACAUUGCUCUUCUAUAACUACAAUUGAAUUAUUAAAAGAACUCUUUGACAUCGUGACAAACCAUCGAUCGCAUCCGAUUGGAGCGAACUUCUUCACACGCAUCAAUGAAGUCGACACAAUAACGCAAAAAUUAAAACAAAAGCACAAAAAAAAUUACUAAAUAAAUAAAAAAAAAAAAGAAAUAGUACUACGCAGCUGUGCGCAAUCUUCAAUUUCUCCUUUGAAUACAAGCUGAAUCAGAAUCUCAUCAGCUCAUCAAUCCACCGUAGGAUUUCAAUUCAAGUCAAAUCCAUUAAUCCGCCUUAUUUUUAGAAAUGUCUGAAAAUCACUAUUCGGUGAAUUCUGGAGCUGUUGAUAAUGGACCAAUUUACCCUCGGUCUUCCACUAAUCAGGAAGCGGAAUCUAUUAAGUUGUCUCAUGUUGAUAGCAAAGAAGAUAUGUUUAUGGAUGCUUCUGAUGAGAUGAAUA